UCGGCUGCGUGCGCUGGGCCGCAAGGGGCGGGAAGCGGAAGCGGAAGUGUUUGUGGCCCCGGAGCGUCCGCCUUCGUGGGCGGGUGGGAGGCCGUGGACCCCGCUAUGGAGGGGUCUAGUGAGCCGCUGCUGGAUGCUAAAUCCAAGGUCACCAGCCAGCUUCUAGACUUUCAGUGGAAGCUGGGUAUGGCUGUGAGCUCGGACAGUUGCAGGUCACUUAAAUAUCCUUACGUUGCAGUGAUGCUCAAAGUGGCCGAUGAGUCAGGCCAAGUAAAGAAAAAGUCCUUUGAAAUGACAAUUCCACAGUUUCAGGUUCAUCAAUAUUGUCAAAAAUAACAGGAUUUCCUUCCUUUUUAAGGGUAAAAGAGAAGAAAGGAAAACAGAAUUUGUUUUAUCCCUCUUUUAUCUGAGGCUUAAAAAAACGAGAUGACUUCUACAGGAGAACCACCAUACCAGCUAAUUUUUUAAUUGAAAGAGAUAUAAACUUCUGCCAUAAUUUCUACAGACAGUUCAAGGAAAUUGCUGCAGUUAUUGAAACUGUGUGAAAACUGAUUACUUGAUUGAUGAAUUGCUAUCAUCAUUCUAAAAUUAUGGACUUCACUUUCUGCACCAAAACUACCUAAGGAUCCAAUGAUAUUUAUUGACUGAAAAUUAUACUUUUGGUUUUUCAUUUUUUUAAUAAUAAAAAAUCAGAAAAACAGGUAUUGCAAAGUGGUGAUCGAUACACAACUUUGUGAAUGUACUAAGAGCCACUGAAUUGAACACUUCAAAGGGUGAACUCUGGUAUGUGAAUUAUAUCUUAAUAAAAGAAUAAAUUAGGCAAACGAAUGAUAUAGAAAGCAACAAAAGUUUAAGUAUUAGAUCAAUAGUUUUAAAAAUUACUGGUAAUGUUACCCAUUUUAUAAAUAAAAUCUUAUACUGAGUUCUUUAUAUAUAGUCUUAUAUAUAAAUGACAAAAGUAAUAUUUGAUUAGGAUAACAUGACUUUACAAAUUCAGUCUUUUGUUGUAAAAACAAUCAGUGAGAAGAGUGAGGCAGCUUCUCAAACAUUUGGAAUCAGGUUAGGAUUGACUAUUGCUCCCUUAUAUUAGCCAAGAAUUCAGCUAUUUCUCUUACUAAUAUUUGUAGAAAGUUCAAGUGCAUGCACGAAGACAGAAAAAUAGGUUUUAUUCUGAGUUUAUGUACAACUGAGUUAACCUGGUAGCACAAGAUACUGUGUUAGAUGAUCUCUGUUAAAUUUAGAUUUACAAACUAGUUAUUAAAAUAUUUUAUAAAGCCACAACAAUCAACACUGUUUGGCAUUGGUUAGGAGUAAGCAGACAGAUCACUGAAUAGACUAGGUGGCCUAGAAAUAGAUCAAGACGUUUGAGACAAAGAUGGUAUUUUAGUUGGGUGAGAAAACAGGAUUGAUUUAAUAAAUGAUGCUAGUACUCACAACAUAUGCAAAGGUAAAUUCCAGUCGGACUAAUGACCUAAAUAUAAAAGAUAAAAAUUGAAGUUUUACAGAAUAUUUAUGUUAACUCGGGCUUGGGAAGACAGCAACUCCAUAGCUAUAAUAAGAAACAUAAAUAUAACUGAAAUACAAAAAAUUUUUAAUUAUAUGUCGGAAAAAAAAUGGGCCAUGAACCAAAACAAAAGAGAAAUGCUAGGUUGUUGUGUAAAUUAGUUCUUGGUCUGGAAAACAAAUUGCUUUAAAUAUUCCAAGUAGGAAGAGAUUUUUUGCAAGAAAUGAGAUGCUCACUGAACGUCAGACUGAGAACAAAUCAGGAGAAACCAUUGCUAGCUUUUAGAAAAUCCAGGAAUUUCAGGGGAAGCCCCUGCUAAUCAUCUCUGCACAAUGCAGACUGUCACCUGGAAGCAACUAUCCAUGCUACUUCUGCCUUAUGUCAACAUGUGUAAUGAAAUAAAGGCUGCUUGCUUUCUUCACC